CGCCUCCCGACACCAUGGGAGGUCCAGCCUGCCCAGUGACUCUGUCAACGGCCGCGGUAUCCUAACCGUGCGAAGGUAGCGUAAUCACUUGUUUUUUAAAUAAGACUAGUAUGAAAGGCACCACGAAGGUCUAACUGUCUCCUUUUCCAAUCAAUUAAACUAAUCUCCCCGUGAAAAAGCGGGGAUAAACCUAUUAGACGAAAGACCCUAUGGAGCUUUAAACACAAUAAAUUUGCUAACAAUUUUCCCUCCAGGACCCCCACCCCCACAGCAUAAUAAUUAUUAGUUUUAGGUUGGGACGACCACGGAAAAAACCUAUCCUCCACGUUGAAUAGAAUUUCAUCAUAAUAAACGAGUUACAACUUUUGAAUCAAUAAAUUGACAUCCAUUGACCCAAUAUAAUUGAUCAACGAACCAGUUACCCUAGGGAUAACAGCGCAUUCCGCUUUCAGAGCCCCUAUCGACAAGCGGGUUUCGACCUCG
rnacentral:rRNA from 1 species